CAAAAAGUAGUUUAAUAUAAAAUGCUGGUUUUGGGGGCCAGAGAUGGGAAUUCUCUUUUUGA
rnacentral:tRNA from 1 species